rnacentral:misc_RNA from 1 species
CCGAUCUCACUUCGUGGUUGACGGUACUUUUUACCGUCGUUACGUGAAAUUUUUAUCUUUAAUUUAAUUUAUGUUUUGUAUGGUUUAUGAUGGUUUUAGAUUCGUCGGUGUGAAGUGUACUUGCUGUAGAGGUGUCUAUUAGACCUUUCCAAUAUUUACCAUGGAUUGGGCGAGCGUUUCGAGACGAAACGUAUUUGAUUUGCAGGUUUUCUCUUGCAAGGAGGUGAUCAGUUUUAGCUAUGCAGAUCGCUAUUCUGCCUAACGAGUAUCCGUAGAGAAUCAAGAACUUCAGGGAAAGUUAGGUUUUUCUGGUUUUUCUCUGAUUACAAAAAUCGACGGUGUGAAUUUCGGUUCCUACAGUCAUGAUUAUGCGGGAUGCUUCAACUUCAAGUUACUCUUGUCUGCCAUUUUACCUUGUUCAUCAAACAAAAUCAGUUUAAAAAGAACAAGAUUAUAUGAACUAAAGGAACAUCGAUUACUUCAAAGAGUACACAACCGACACAAGCGAUUACUGUUUAUAUUCAAGACUUCAUUACAUUCAAUAAAAAAACUAAAUCAUUAGGUAGAUCCUCUCAUAUCUUAC